AAACAACCUGCCAGCGCGCAAGCGGACGUUGGGGCCGGGUGUUAAGGCGUGCGGGGGCUGUGGCGGCAGUGGGGUCACGUGUGACCCCCCCUCCCCCCUCCAGAGCGCUGUGUCUGACCCCCGGGCUGCGCCUCACUCGCCCUCGUAGACCUCAUCUCUAAGCAUCCAGAGCCCCUUCAGAGCCCUCAUAGACUCCACAACCCCUCAAAGUCCUAACAGAUUCUAUCAUAGCCUCCACAGCACCCACAGAACCCUCACAGCCUUCUAAGCCCUCAAAACCUCCAGAAACCCCCUCACUGCCCCCCUCAUCCUCCACUUCCGGCGCUGGCAGAGGCAGCGCAGUGUUGGUGAAAAGCAGUGGGUUGCUCAUUUUCGGUACACUGCUGUGUCACUGCACCCUUGUCUCGGGCUCGGGAUUGCCUGGUGCCAGUCGCAGUAGGGUUUGGUACAGUGACGAUCUUCGUUUCCUCUUGUUACUGCUGUGCAAUCCUUUGCAUGUGUGAUCCGAGCACGCCACUGACAUAAUUCUUAGGGUUUCGGUCAAAAUACAAAGAGUGGAGAGCAAAUUAAUUCUGUUUCACAGUUAAUGGACUUUUGUAUGCUGUAAAGAUCUCUGCUCCAUCUAGAUUAAUUGUAUUGAUAAAAUACAGCGCUGGAUGUUAUUACAUGCCUCAUCAUUUCAGAGGCAAUGUUGGAGGCCGGGAAACCACUUCCUUUCCUCUACCCACUUCCCUAGCACUUUCUUCAUCUGGUAAUUCCUCUUUUUGCCAGCUCGCCUAUGUCCUCACUGAAGACACAGUCCAAGUUGGUGAGCAGAGCACGUGGCAGGUCUGUGACAGCCACGUGAACCCAAGCCGUGUUCCGGUGCUGUGGUGGUGCUUAAGCAGCAGGGCAGGGUGUUGGCCGCGGAUGCUGUUCCUGGUGCCUUUUCACUCUUAAUUAAAGUGUCCCUGCCAAAGGUCACUCUUCGAUUACCUCACCUAUGGUUCAUUGUGAGAUGACAACUCUCAACAAUUCCUAACACCAACUUCCACCACCCACUUGUUUUGUUUUGGGAUAAAUAGCUCCAUGUUUUCUUCCAUUCUGCCUCUCAGGUGUGGGAAAAGAUAUUUUUUGAAGUCUCCAGUAACUCAGUUUGGAAACUGACAUGCUAAACCUUGUACUUGCCAUAUUGAUUGUUAAUGUCUCUUCCAUUUUCUUUGUUUUUCCAUAAUUCUCUAUUCACUACUCACUUGCAAUGUGUUUAAGCUGCACUCUUUUUAGUUUAUGUUUUUACAUCAUCUAAUGUGUUAUAUUCCUGUACAAGAUUAGAGCUCCUAAGUGUUAUGGCAAUACAGUAAAUAAGUUGUAAUUACAGAAAUAUAAGUAUUCCCAAAAUAAAUUAACACUAGAAAACUGAGAUUAAAUAUAGUUUUUAAAGCCAUUCAGACAUGUUGGCACAAAAAUACACAACUAAACUCCCCACUAGUUAAUGGUGUCAUGAAUUAACUAUACAAUUAUAUUGUUGAUAGUCCAUGUUAGAAUUAAAAUGGUUUAUGAAGAUGAAUUCCUUUUAUUUUUCAUUAUUUUCUGCCUGGUCUAUCAAUUAGGUGAGGCUGAGAUUUCCAUAAUUGUUUGGGUUUCAUUCUGUACUUUUACCUGGAAAUUUGAAGUGGUUUUAAAUGUAUAGAGCAAGGUGAAUUUUGUUCAUUGCAUGCUUAUUUGGACAGGUUGCUGAAGAAUAUAUUUGAGAAGAAGAAAGGAACACUUUUGAAACAAAGGGCUUGGUUUCUCUUUUUUGUUUAUGUAUUUUUUUAGUCAUCAACCUCUGGGCUUGCUUGACAGUAACUAUGAAUAAUCUAUCCCUGUAAGAAGAAAUUUAUCACUGUUUUCUGGUCUCUUUUAAAAGUUGUUUGCUCUUACAUUGAACUUAGAGUGUUUUUGCUAGGGAGUUGAGAAACCAACCAAUGCAUAAUUAAGUAAUGCAGAAUUUUGGGGUGGUGGACACAUGUGAUCAGAUCCACAGGGACCUGCAGAAAUAGAAUCAAUAGAAAUCGAUUUUUCCACUGUGUUCUCUCUGGCAUAAAAGGAGUGCUUAGCAUUCCUGAAAACAUAAUUUGUUUAUGUUUUCCUAUGUGACUACCAAAAAAUACUUACCGAAAGUACAAGCUAAUCUAUAAUUUGCAUACUCUUACUCAACUGUCAUGAGUAGGAAGAACAACUAUUUGUUUUCUCUCUCUUUGAAUAUCUAUUGUGUAGAGUCUUUUGUGCAGUUGUGGAAUCAAAAUUACUGGUUUCCUGUAGUAUUGAUUUUUUAUUUUUGUUGCUUAUAUAAAACAUAUUAGUAUACUUGUUAAUGUAUAAUACCCUUCCAUUACUGAGAUAAUUGUCUGGCUGUGGGAUUUGAUCUAAUUUUACUAUCUUUUUUGUCACAAAUUAUUAUAACUUU